rnacentral:rRNA from 1 species
UACGUAGGUGGCGAGCGUUGUCCGGAAUUACUGGGCGUAAAGGGCGCGUAGGCGGCUCAUUAAGUUAGAUGUGAAAACCCGAGGCUUAACUUCGGGAGUGCAUUUAAAACUGGAGAGCUUGAGUGCAGGAGAGGUAAGUGGAAUUCCUAGUGUAGCGGUGAAAUGCGUAGAUAUUAGGAGGAACACCAGUGGCGAAGGCGGCCCCCUGGUUGGAUACUGACGCUGAGACGCGAAAGCGUGGGGAGCAAACAGG